CGCUGGGCCCGUAUCAGGGGACAGUGAUUAAGCGCCUGCUGUGUACCAGCCCGGGUGCUGAGCCCCGAAGGAGGCACCCGGAUCUCCGUCUCUCAGCUGGGAAACUGAGGCCCAAACAGGUGUGGGCCUGCUGCUGCUCCUCGGUCUCCACGUGGUGCCUCACUCCACGUACACCCUCCUCCUUCUCCAUCGCACCCCAGGACACCUCCCUGGCCUUCCUAUUGGGGAUCUCCCUGAAAGAAGCUGUCUGUUGCCCAGUUGCUAGAAUCAUCACUGGCUCCCUGCUACUCUGAGAAUCAAGUCUGGGCUUCUGAACUUGUCCGAGGGGACUCUGCGUCUAUCUUUGAAGGUGAAGACAGAGUGAAGGUCGGGAAACUGGGGUCCAAAGAAGUGAAGUGAUUUGCUCCAGAUCAAACAAGUGUAAGUGGCCAAGCUGGGAUUUGAAUACAGAUAGUCAGGUGAACUCCUACUCAUCCCUCAAAGUCCUGGCCCCAAGACCCCCUCCACGUUCUUCAUCUCUGUACCACACGGCCUCUCUAACGGCAACAGUAAUAACAUUAACGCCCCCACCACGUUGGCUAUUACGCUUAUUCAGUGGCGAGCACUGUGCUAAGUGCUUUCCACAUGUUUAAUGGUCCCCGCAGUCCCUGGAAAAGAUGUCAUUAUUCCCCACGCCGGGAAACUGAGGCCCAGAGUAGAGUCACUUGCUCAAGGUGAUACCAAAAAUAAGGGGCACCUGGGUGGCUCAGUGGGUUAAGCAUCUGACUCUUGAUUUCGGUUGAGGUCACGGUCUCAGGGUCAUGGGAUGGAGCCAUGCAGGGACCAUGUGGAAAAAGCUUGGAAAGAAGAAAGAAGGAAAGGAAGAUAGCGGCCGAGCUGAGGUUGAACUUGACUCUGACUCCAAACUUGUUCUCUCAAAUGCCUCCGCAGGCCCUGGGACCUGAGUGGCCGAGGGUAAUGCUGAGGGGGAUGGCAGCAGCCAGAGGGCAUGGCAGGUCCUGCCUGUUGGGGGAGUGAAGGGGCUGACGUCCACUGAGAGGACAGGUUUUCCCAAAGACACGCAGCAGAGCAGAACCAGCAAGUAAAUAAAGUGCCCACGUGGCAGCAAGCCCUGUGUGCCAGGCCCAGCUCCGCGCCCGACACAUCAGACCAAGCCUUCCUGGGCGCCUACUGUGUGCUGGGCCAGCCAGGGAGCUCAAGGGGACCCAGGCCGACCUGCGCCCCACGCUUGCCAAGCUGCCCGUCCAAUCAGGGUUUGGGGGGGCAGGUAAGAGAGAAGACAUAAAUAAAUAAAUAAGGUAAUCUGGAUGUCAGCAGCACGACAAAAUAAAA